CGGAAGGACCUGGCCUCCACCUCCCUAGACACCACCCUAUCGCCAGAACCUGGUCCUGGCCACUUCAGAUCUCCUCCCCCAAUCUCCAAUUAGAAUGUGAGGUGUAGCGUCAUGUGGAGCCAGAUAGGAAAUUUCAUUGAGUUCCACCUCUGUGUCGAACAUUGUUGAAGGCACUGAGGAUAGAGCAGAGAAGCAGCAGUGAGCAUUCGUCUGCCAGUGUUCCUCCCAACGAGCCAUCUAGACACUACCCACACCUCGUCUCCCAUCUGGUACUAUCAUUUGAUAUUUACCUUCAGUGAUCUCUCGUUAUCCACUUACCACUGCCAUCUUACAUUAAAUUAUCCACUUACUAUA